rnacentral:rRNA from 1 species
CUGUUCGCCCAUUAAAGCGGUACGCGAGCUGGGUUCAGAACGUCGUGAGACAGUUCGGUCCCUAUCCGUCGUGGGCGUAGGAAAUUUGAGAGGAGCUGUCCUUAGUACGAGAGGACCGGGAUGGACACACCGCUGGUGUACCAGUUGUCUUGCCAAAGGCAUCGCUGGGUAGCUAUGUGUGGACGGGAUAAGUGCUGAAAGCAUCUAAGCAUGAAGCCCCCCUCAAGAUGAGAUUUCCCAUUACAUUC